rnacentral:rRNA from 1 species
GAUGAACGCUGGCGGCGUGCUUAACACAUGCAAGUCGAACGGGAUCCAAGGGGUGCUUGCACUUUUUGGUGAGAGUGGCGAACGGGUGAGUAACACGUGAGUAACCUGUCCUUUUCUUUGGGAUAAGCAUUCGAAAGGGUGUUUAAUACCUUAUGUUCUGUCUGCCUCGCAUGGGGUGGGUGGGAAAGGCUUUGGCCGGAUUUGGGUGGGCUCGCGGUCUAUCAGCUUGUUGGUGGGGUGAUGGCUUACCAAGGCUUUGACGGGUAGCCGGCCUGAGAGGGUGGUCGGUAACAUUGGGACUGAGAUACGGCCCAGACUCCUGCGGGAGGCAGCAGUGGGGGAUAUUGCACAAUGGGCGAAAGCCUGAUGCAGCGACGCCGCGUGGGGGAUGAAGGCCUUCGGGUUGUAAACUUCUUUUGCUCUGAACAAGGCAUGCCAGUGGGUGUGUUGAGUGUAGGGGUUGAUUAGCGCCGGCUAACUACGUG